CCUACGGGAGGCUGCAGUGGGGAAUAUUGCACAAUGGGGGAAACCCUGAUGCCGCGACGCCGCGUGAAGGAAGAAGUAUUUCGUUAUGUACACUUCUAUCAGCAGGGAAGAAAAUUACUGUACCUGACUAAGACGCCCCGGCUAACUACGUGCCAGCCGCCGCGGUACUACGUAGGGGGCAAGCGUUAUCCGGAUUUACUGGGUGUAAAGGGAGCGUAGGCGGUUCAGCAAGUCAUACGUGAAAGCCCGGGGCUCAACUCCGGGACUGCUUUUGAAACUGUUGAACUAGAUUGCAGGAGAGGUAAGUGGAAUUCCUAGUGUAGCGGUGAAAUGCGGAGAUAUUAGGAGGAACACCAGUGGCGAAGGCGGCUUACUGGACUGUAAAUGACGCUGAGGCUCGAAAGCGUGGGGAGCAAACAGGAUUAGAUACCCUUGUAGUC
rnacentral:rRNA from 1 species